CCUACGGGAGGCAGCAGUGGGGAAUAUUGCACAAUGGGGGAAACCCUGAUGCAGCGACGCCGCGUGAGUGAAGAAGUAUCUCGGUAUGGAAAGCUCUUUCAGUAGGGAAGAAAAUGACGGUACCUGUUUAAGAAGCCACGGCUAAUUACGUGCCAGCAGCCGCGGUAAGACGGAGGGGGCAAGCGUUAUCCGGAUUUACUGGGUGUAAAGGGAGCGUAGACGGCAGCACAAGUCUGGAGUGAAAUGCCGGGGCUUAACCCCGGAACUGCUUUGGAAACUGGGCAGCUAGAGUGCAGGAGAGGGAAGGGGAAGUCCUAGUGUAGCGGUGAAAGGCGUAGAUAUUAGGAGGAACACCAGUGGCGAAGGCGGCUUGCUGGACUGUAACUGACGUUGAGGCACGAAAGCGUGGGGAGCAAACAGGAUUAGAUACCCUAGUAGUC
rnacentral:rRNA from 1 species